GGGCAGGUGCCCGAGCGAUCAAAGGGAGCAGACUGUAAAUCUGCCGGCCUAGCGCCUACGGAGGUUUAAGUCCUCCCCUGCCCACCA
rnacentral:tRNA from 1 species